GACGAACGCUGGCGGCGUGCUUAACACAUGCAAGUCGUACGGUAAGGCCCUUUCGGGGGUACACGAGUGGCGAACGGGUGAGUAACACGUGAGUAACCUGCCCACAACUUUGGGAUAACGCUAGGAAACUGGUGCUAAUACUGGAUAUGUGCUCCUGCUGCAUGGUGGGGGUUGGAAAGCUCCAGCGGUUGUGGAUGGACUCGCGGCCUAUCAGCUUGUUGGUGGGGUAGUGGCCUACCAAGGCGGCGACGGGUAGCCGGCCUGGGAGGGUGACCGGCCACAUUGGGACUGGGAUACGGCCCAGAAUCCUACGGGAGGGAGCAGGGGGGAAUAUUGCACAAUGGGCGCAAGCCUGAUGCAGCAACGCCGCGGGCGGGAAGACGGCCUUCGGGUUGUAAACCGCUUUCAGCAGGGACGAAGCUUUUUGUGACGGUACCUGCAGAAGAAGCACCGGCUAACUACGUG
rnacentral:rRNA from 1 species